rnacentral:lncRNA from 1 species
UGAAGCUCUGCUCUGAUUGUGACACGGGAAAAGGGGUUUUAUAUGUAUAUAGAGUCUCCUUAUCGAGGUUGUUUUGUAUAGCUAAUAAAUACAUUAGUUGAUUUAACAUUUGUAUAAACAAGUAUUUUUACUAAUUAACUACAUUAGUAUUAUUUUGGUAGAGGAGUGUAAUACUCGAACCGACAUUCAAUAAAUUAAAUGUGAUUUUCCGUUGCGUAUUUUGAAAAA